rnacentral:misc_RNA from 1 species
CGCGCAAGGGAUACGACGCACUCAUUAUCUCCCUUUUUUUUGUUGCUGUUUGCUUGUGAGGCGCAUCGCCGCAUCUGAAGCGAACCUGACUUUGGAAGCAGGGCGACGACUCAGCACCACACCACACACACAGAGGGGGGGAGAGAGACGCCUUUUGGUUUUACGUGGCGGCAUGCGCCCCUCUCGCCCUUCUCCUCGUUUUCUCUCCCGUUUUCUCCAGAGGUGCGGUGCAGCGUCGCACGUGCAAAGCAGGCGAAGGCGUCUCUUCGGACAGCAAGUAAUACCUGAAAACACGACCCCUGCCCGCCCCCCCCCGCCCCUUCUUAUCAGCAAAAAAGAAAACGUCUUCCUCCGUAGCGAAGCGCUCGCCGUGCCCGUUGUCGAGGACCUGCCACAGAAAAGAUUUUCUCCACUCCUUUGCGCUAGUCCCCUUAGCCGGAGUAUGGCUAGUGUCUGCUCGACAUGGCUGUUCACAUCUCCAGCAGCACGGUCGUAGCCUCAUUGUGGGGUUCGGAGGACGUGACUGCCAUUCCACUGCAGCCAAGUGGGCAGUUCCUGUCGCUACGCCUAUCCCCAGCAACCGCCAUCGCCGAUAAUACCGUCACGUCUGUCGCCUUUCACCCCGUCGAUGAGACCUGCUUCGUGCUGGGGACGGGGGCUGGUAAGGCGUAUGGCGUGUCCCUCCAGGAGAACAAGCUCUUUCUCCUUGCCGAUGUUGGCGAACGUGGCGCCCUACGAUGCGCCACCUUUUGCCCCGGUUACCUGACAAGCCCGAUCGUUGUGUUCGCCAGCACUGGCAAUCGACUUCUUUUCCUAGACUGGCAACGCGGCACUGUUCUGCAGGAUGUGCUGGCGACGGCACACCAACGGCCGAUCCUGCGCAUUGUUACAGGCGCGUCGACAGAGUCUCUCUUCUGCACCGUGAGCGCCGACGCCUUUUCUUGCUGGGAGCCAGUUGCAAGUAGUGAAGGCGCAUUCGCCCUCGGCCCGUCGAGCUCCGCCGUUCCAGUGACCAACCACCAGGGGCCCACCAGCACAGCGGGCACGGCUGGCUCUUUCCCGAAAGACCGCAGCACUUUUGGGUUCUCGAUGCCGCGCUACGGGUGCUCUGGCAGUGCGUUGCCUACCGAAUGCACUCUUGAGCUCCAGCGGAGCUGCGACGUUGUGCCGAGGCUCACGGACAGGGUCACGCACCGCUUCCUCGGAGUGCACAUUCUUCACCCAGCCCUAUUCGUCUCCGUGGAAGGGAGCGGUGUAUUAUCUCUGUGGUCGCGAGCUGCAGCAGCUGGAGAUACCGAAGCCGUAGCGCACCAGGGGCCGCUUCGCCUGCAACAGAGCGCGACAACACCGUCGGUGCUGCGAGUGCGGUGCUCCGCGCAAUGCGGGGCACUCAUCGUUCUUGGAGCGGAUGCCGCGACAGUGGACGAGCUCGGUGACCACGUGGAGCCGGUAGUGGCCUUUGUCGUGGGGCAGACGCUGGAGGGUGCGGGCAUUGUACGGCUGCCGAGUGGCGGCACGGGGGCUCCGGCGAGAGAUCGCGCUACGGCCGUUACCGAGGUGAGCGCGGUGCAGUCGGACUGUGUGGCGUGCCUCUUGAGCACCGGUGUCGUGCAUGUAGUGCUGCCCAGCACGUUUCACCUUGUCUUCUCUAUCCCCCCACCGUCAUUAGGCACGCUUCGCCAUCGCCUCGGCCCACGGUCGCACUGGAGCUUCGCACCAUCCGGACCUACCUUUGGCGCCAUGUGGUGCGAGCAUCUCCUCCUCCUUCUGCAUCUGCCAACCGCACGGCGCGGCUAUGCAGGUGCUGCGCAUGCUAUCGAGAUGGCAACGCUGCGAGUCGGUUCCCGAAGCGCCCCAUCAGGUGAAGCUGUUGCCGGCAGCAAGCGAACCCCUGUCAAGCCGAAGUCGUCACGACUGGGCGGCCGCGCCGACGACGCAGCUGCGGCGGCACACGGUGUUGCGGUGGUGGCACAAUCCUUUCUGCGUUCCUGUCAAGCGCCACGUUCGACACCUUCACGGCAAGCGGCGGUGGCUGAUUCUGCGCACAGUCGUGUCGACGCCGCCCUCGCCGUGCUGUCGCGGUGCCGGCCACCCAUUAUCGUUCCAAAGAAGGGAUUCCCUGACAUUUGGCCAGACGUGAACGAGGUGGAUCUGCGGGCCGCGGAGCAGCAGCUGACUGCGCGCCGGACCAGUGACGCGAAAGAGGCUGACAAGGAUACGACGGCGAAUGGGCCGUUGGCCUGGUCGUCGGCAGCGGUGUUCUGCGACACCCUCUCCCCCUCCUCCUGCCAGUACAAUGUGAAUCAGCUGCAAGCGCACCUGCUCAAGCACGGCGUCUUUCCGCACCAGUACCGGCCUGCGAUUUGGCGCUUUCUUGCUGGACUGCCGAGCAAAGCAAAGACGGCCUCGCAGUUUGCCGCCCUCGCGCGAAGACCGCCCCACCUCGCCGUAUUGCAGCUCAUGAACCCCUUCCCACUCCCUCCGUCCAGCACUCGCGACGCCGUGGAGAGCGCCCUCUCCUGUCUCUGCUGGGCCUCUCCCGUCUUCACUCUCGCUUCCUACCUGCCAGUGCUCGUGUACCCGCUUAGCCUUGUCUUCCACGACGAUGUUCAGAGCGUCGUGGAGCUUGUGCUGAUGUUUUUCCUCAACUGGGGAAGGGACUUCUUUGUAUGCCACCCUCACGGCCCGGCAAUGCUGCUCAUGGCCAUGGAGCGCCAGCUGCGGCGACUCGAUGAGCCACUGUGCCAGCAUCUCGACGCCAUGGGUGCCGGUGUAGCGGUGUGGGGGUGGGAACUGCUCACGAGCUUCUUCACGGACUCCUUCACUGGAGCCGAAUGGGUGCAGGUCAUGGACCACAUCAUUACCGCGCCGCCGCUUUUUCUCUUUGCCUUUCACGUGACGUUCGUUCGUACUCGACUUCGGCCGCAACUGACGUCGGCGCUGAGCGUAGACGAGGUGCGUGGCGUACUCCGCCGCGCUCCGACGGCCGCUGCAGCCCCUACAGCACCGUCGCCGCCAAAGUCACUGCAAAGGUUGAUCGAAGAGGGCUACCGACUUUACCACAGCUGGUCAUGCGAGUCAGGUGACUCCGCAACGGACCUCUCCUCGUUUAAGGUGUUCCAGACACUCACGCCUCAGUUCGAGUACCCUGUCAACUUUGCACACGAUUCUGUAGUCCUCGCUGAGAGGCUGCGUGAGCUCUCGCUUCUGCAGCGGAGUCGCGAUGAGGAAAAGAGAGCUGCAGCCCACUUGGAGGCGCUGCGCAAGGCCUCUGCGGCGGCGUCUGCCGUGGAAGCGGCAUUCCUGCUACAGCAGCGAGCUCGCGUAGCGGCAAAGUACGACGCGUCUGCCGCUGCGUGGCAGGUGUACGUGGCGGUGGAGCGGUCGCGGCAAGAGAGGGAGGCGGAGGAGCGGCAGCUUAAGUGGGAGGCGCUGCAAACGCGGACACGCAACGCUGAAGAACUGGAGGCUCUGCGCGCUGAGAUGAACAUGGUGGAGUGUCAGCUCCGACACGACAUGGUGGAUCGUCACAUGGAGCAGCUCAAGUGGCGACUGGCGGCCCACCUGACGGACGAGGAGUUGGUGCGACUGCAGAAGGACGCCGAUGCACAAGUGGAGCGCGCGGUGCAGCGUAUCGAGGAGGACGAGCAGCGGCACGCUGAGGACGCGCUGCAUUACGAGACCGCGCCGCCGCUUUCAAUCGAGGUGCUUCCAGGCGAAGAAAACAAGGCAGCAGUGGGGAACGCGGCGUUGCCGACACGUGUGGUGGAAGACUCGCACCCGUCGACGCAGCCCUCUUCCACAGCGACGAUGAAGGAGGAGGGGUGCGAUAACACAAAGCAGCAAUCAGCCAAACGCGGCCGGGGUGUAAGCGCGAAAAGACAGGAACGGGAGGCGGCGACAGAAGGGCGAGCACCCGCAGGGUGCAUCGGUGCGUCAAUUCAGCCUCCUGAUGCUCGCGUGGCGUUGCAUGAGCAACGCCUCUGCUGCUACUCAUCGUCCCUCUCGGCUGCUAGCAGCAGUGCUUCUUCCUCAGUGUCACUCACCGCGGCGGACGAAACCGGCGGUGGCGCUAGUGGGCCGCUACACCAUAGUUCACAAGCCACUCCUCCUUCAAGUGCUACUCUGUCGCAAGCACCAGUGCCCGUAGACGGCUCUGGUGGCCGGCCUGCCGAAGGAGAACUGCCCGCUAGGGUCUUGGAAAAGGCAAGUCCAAGUGGAGGAGUGGACCCGACUAGCAGGAGGCCGCGCUUGGUGCCACCGCCGCGGCACGCUUACUGCGACGUAGCUGGCGAACAUCGGGAGACUGCGCUGAAUCAGCGGCGGUUUCUGGAGCUACGCGAUCGCGUCUUGAGCAGGGCAGAAGCCUACACCCAACCUGGCGUAGUUGAUCCUUUUCGACGAUACCGACCUCCGUACCGCGGUGAUGGGAGCGCAACCAUGACGGCCAGCUGCACGCCCACGGUCACGGCGACGUCCUCGUGCCCUUCAUCCAGCACGGCGCCCUCCAGUAGACGUCGCCUUUUUGACAACUACGAACCCGAUCAACGUCGCCCCGGCGGUGGCAAGCGCCCCUACGAUCAGCAACAACGGAGGCAGCUUCAGCCACCUGUGGAUUCCUACACCGCGACCGUGACGAGAACGAGCGCGACCUCCUCAACAGGGCAGAGCAUGAGCGGCAGCACGUCAACAACGAGCAGCUACGAGUCGCCGUCCACCUAUACCUCUUACGACUACGACUAUUCCGCGACCGUGUCGACGACGUGGCGCACUGGCGAGACAAGGUCGGCCGGCUCCACCGCCUGCGGCUCUUCACUCGCUUGGCCUGCAAGGCCUCGCAGCGACCGGCUCGCGCAGGAUGACGGGCGUAAGCACCUCUGCGCCUCCCGCCGCUGAUGUGUGACGGCAGCAGGGACAAGCGCGAAGUACAAAGAGAAAACCUCCCGUGCUCAUGUUAUUUUGGGGUUUCCAUCUCUCUCUAUAUAUGUAUUGUUUUUUUUUUGUUUCUGAGCUCCGUCACGUGGUAUCGCUUCAUGGUUGCUGUACGGGGACUGUUCGAUGCAGCGGCGCACUUGUCCGGUGCUUCGCGGCUCUCAUCGUAUCUGUGACUCUACUCAGGUAGGCGUCAUCGCGCUCCCCGCGGCGUCGAUUCUUGCCUCUGCGCUCAGCUCCUGAGAUGCCGCCCAUUACCGCGCCGCUUUACAUUCUGCAGAAGCACG